rnacentral:rRNA from 1 species
GGCGCACGGCUCAGUAAAACGUGGACAACCUGCCCUCGGGUGGGGGAUAACCCCGGGAAACUGGGGCUAAUACCCCAUAGGUGAUGGGUGCUGGAAUGCCCCAUCACCGAAAGCUCCGGCGCCCGAGGAUGGGUCUACGGCGGAUUAGGUUGUUGGCGGGGUGACGGCCCGCCAAGCCGAAGAUCCGUACGGGCCAUGAGAGUGGGAGCCCGGAGAUGGACCCUGAGACACGGGUCCAGGCCCUACGGGGCGCAGCAGGCGCGAAACCUUUACAAUGCGGGAAACCGUGAUAAGGGGACCCCGAGUGCCCCUGCCACGCAGGGGCUGUCCGGGUGUGUAAAAAGCACCCGACAGCAAGGGCUGGGCAAGACCGGUGCCAGCCGCCGCGGUAACACCGGCAGCCCGAGUGGUGGCCACUAUUAUUGGGUCUAAAGCGUCCGUAGCCGGCCUAGUAAGUCUCUCGGGAAAUCCGGCGGCUUAACCGUCGGGCGUCCGAGAGAUACUGCUAGGCUUGGGACCGGGAGAGGCCGAGGGUACUCCCGGGGUAGGGGUGAAAUCCUGUAAUCCCGGGAGGACCACCGGUGGCGAAGGCGCUCGGCU